UCUUCAUCGGGAGUGGCAGAGACAACGCGCACGGAAAGCUGUUCGAGGAGGCUCUACCGUCGGGUGUGGGAUUCAUCUGACUAUGUCCGGUCAGGUACGGAGGCACCGACGGGGCACGCCCUGGUGAUUCUGCAGUCGGACGGACAGAACUCGAUGAUCAUUGCCGGCGGAACAAACAUGAGUUUGUGGUUGGAGAAUCGGAGUGAUUAUGAUCUCAAGGUCGUGAAGAGUGCUGGGAUUGUUCUUCUGCAGGGGAAAAUCCCUGAUUUUGUGAAAAUUCAAGUCACGGGUGAUGGCACAGGUAGUGGGUUGGCCACCAAUUCGCUCAUUCAUGAAGAACACGUUGUCUUUACAUUCUCAGAAGAACGAUGGCGACAACCCAGAAGCUCAACACCUGAAUUUUCUUCUGUGUUUUGGUGGGUACAACAGGGACAGUACAGACUAACAACUGUUCUAGCAGCUCCGAAAAUACUCCUAGAACAAGACCCAACAGGAAUACGAGUGCACAGGGCAACCAUGGCCAUUCAUUAAGAGUUUUACCAGACUUUGCCCAAGUUUACAGCUUCAUCGGCAGUGUUUUCGACCCAUAUGUUACCGACCAUCUGCAGAAGCUGAAAAAGAUGGACCUCAUAGAUGUGGAAACGUAUGAUACCCGUGCCAUUCAUUUUACUCUGUUGGUCAAUCUCACUGUAUGUGCCCUCUGAAUGUUUAUAUGU